rnacentral:rRNA from 1 species
CAGGCUUAACACAUGCAAGUCGAGGGGCAUCAGGAAGAAAGCUUGCUUUCUUUGCUGGCGACCGGCGCACGGGUGAGUAACACGUAUCCAACCUGCCCUUUACUCGGGGAUAGCCUUUCGAAAGAAAGAUUAAUACCCGAUAGCAUAAUGAUUCCGCAUGGUUUCAUUAUUAAAGGAUUCCGGUAAAGGAUGGGGAUGCGUUCCAUUAGGUUGUUGGUGAGGUAACGGCCCACCAAGCCUUCGAUGGAUAGGGGUUCUGAGAGGAAGGUCCCCCACAUUGGAACUGAGACACGGUCCAAACUCCUACGGGAGGCAGCAGUGAGGAAUAUUGGUCAAUGGGCGCUAGCCUGAACCAGCCAAGUAGCGUGAAGGAUGAAGGCUCUAUGGGUCGUAAACUUCUUUUAUAUAAGAAUAAAGUGCAGUAUGUAUACUGUUUUGUAUGUAUUAUAUGAAUAAGGAUCGGCUAACUCCGUGCCAGCAGCCGCGGUAAUACGGAGGAUCCGAGCGUUAUCCGGAUUUAUUGGGUUUAAAGGGAGCGUAGGUGGACUGGUAAGUCAGUUGUGAAAGUUUGCGGCUCAACCGUAAAAUUGCAGUUGAUACUGUCAGUCUUGAGUACAGUAGAGGUGGGCGGAAUUCGUGGUGUAGCGGUGAAAUGCUUAGAUAUCACGAAGAACUCCGAUUGCGAAGGCAGCUCACUGGACUGCAACUGACACUGAUGCUCGAAAGUGUGGGUAUCAAACAGGAUUAGAUACCCUGGUAGUCCACACAGUAAACGAUGAAUACUCGCUGUUUGCGAUAUACAGUAAGCGGCCAAGCGAAAGCAUUAAGUAUUCCACCUGGGGAGUACGCCGGCAACGGUGAAACUCAAAGGAAUUGACGGGGGCCCGCACAAGCGGAGGAACAUGUGGUUUAAUUCGAUGAUACGCGAGGAACCUUACCCGGGCUUAAAUUGCAGUGGAAUGAUGUGGAAACAUGUCAGUGAGCAAUCACCGCUGUGAAGGUGCUGCAUGGUUGUCGUCAGCUCGUGCCGUGAGGUGUCGGCUUAAGUGCCAUAACGAGCGCAACCCUUAUCUUUAGUUACUAACAGGUUAUGCUGAGGACUCUAGAGAGACUGCCGUCGUAAGAUGUGAGGAAGGUGGGGAUGACGUCAAAUCAGCACGGCCCUUACGUCCGGGGCUACACACGUGUUACAAUGGGGGGUACAGAAGGCAGCUAGCGGGUGACCGUAUGCUAAUCCCAAAAUCCUCUCUCAGUUCGGAUCGAAGUCUGCAACCCGACUUCGUGAAGCUGGAUUCGCUAGUAAUCGCGCAUCAGCCACGGCGCGGUGAAUACGUUCCCGGGCCUUGUACACACCGCCCGUCAAGCCAUGGGAGCCGGGGGUACCUGAAGUACGUAACCGCAAGGAUCGUCCUAGGGUAAAACUGGUGACUGGGGCUAA